UUGUUCUUCAUUUUUUUUGCACGAUUUCAUAGUUUUUACAACUGAUUCUUGUGAGUUUCACCUAAUUAUAAUAGAUUCAUGAGAUAAACACCGAUUUAGCUCUUAAAAUUUCGAUUUUUGAAGGUUUUUUAGUUUCAGCGCCUAGAACCACCGAUUACCUCCUCCUCGCCACGGCAGCCUUCCGAUCACCAUUUAAUCGGGCGAGUGAACGGCCAGGCGGACGCGUUUUUGAACAGGGGUUUUUUUCUAGCCCUUGUUCCAAGUUGUUGCAAAUUAAUUUAUUCAUCUAGUACUAGAUGAAAAUCAUGGUAAAUCUGUACUUAAAUAUCAUUUUUGCAUGUACUGUGUAGUCUAAUGCACAAUUGGUUCUGACUUCUGACUAUUAAAUCUUACAGUAUUAAAUUUACACGAAUGUUAG
rnacentral:lncRNA from 1 species